GUUCAGUGUGUGUGUGUGUAUAUAUAUAUUUAUACAUUUUUAAACUUAUCCCUUAUUUUGUCAGGAGAAUUCGAAUCAGCUGUUUCCGGACAUAUCGGGCUCUUUGAAUGGGAAUAGGGAUACUUCUUUAAAGCUAAUGCCAUCAUCCAACAAAAAAUCAUGUUCACGGCCAACUGUAGAAUUCAUGCAAGAUUUCAGUUCACAAUCAAAUAUUGCAACACCACCUGUUGUGACCAUUCCAUCUGGUUUGUAG